CCUAUGUCUCGAAAAUCGGAGAAAAACGUAGCAACAAGAACAAAUAUAUUUUCAGUCUUGCUCGGAAAUAUAAUUCAGAUGAAGUUCUUUGCACUAUCACGUUAAGUGUUCAUAACAUUUCAAUAGCUUGACCAAUUCUAAGAGAUGAGGAGGGUUUUGGAUCUUUUGAAGAAAUUGCGAUCCAAAGCUUGGGGGACAGUAGAACUCUGUUUUUUCCAAUUGUAAUCAAUCCCAGCCAGCCUCUAAGAUUCUUGAGCAACAAACGCUCUUCUGAACUGGUCUGUAUGAGCUCAGACCUUAAAAGAACCUGUUGCAUUCCCAAAUAACAAAUUACUCCAGGUUUAUACACCAUAUUUAAAUCCAUCAAUGAAUAAGGUAGAAAAGAAUACCUUGGAAUUAUCAUAGCUUUCUCGAACUAUUUCUUCGAUGAGCUAUUUUGAAUUAGCUUUCUCAAGGAAAUUCAUAAACAACUUGUGAAAGUUUGGUUCUUUGCUCGCUCUAUCAACAUGAUCAACGAGUCAUUCAACAAGUAUUCCAAUGCUUGUAGAGACAAAGCCUGCAUUUCUCAAACAUUGUUUAACACCAAAAACAAAAGGUAACUUCCCAAUACAAGAAAAGACAAGGAACCAUAAAACCACAAGUACAGGAAAGGUAACUACUCGAGAUGGAGGUCGAAAUUCAGGAGAUGAAGCCCUAACUACACUUUGCGGUAUCAGAUACUAUAUUUGAAAAUAAAAUUCAUUUUUCAUUGAACUUUUUUGAAGCCAAUAAGAUCAAACCAGGGCAAUAGGUUCAAUAAGAUCACAUUAGUCAAUACUCUAGAAGAUAUAAUUAAUUGUAUUAAUCGAUACAGAGAAACAGGUUCAAUAAGAUCAUAUUGUCAUGAAUGGUAAUGUAAAUGACGCAUUUUCCUUGGUAUCAUGGGUGGUGUAUUGUUCCUGAUCCAAUUACAUGUACAUGAAAUGAAACUGGUUAUACAGGGAAACAGGGUUACUAGUUAAUACAACCUGUAAGGACAAAAAGAACCUUCAAUUGCUGCUAGAAUCUCCACCAUCUCGAGUCUUGCCAAAAAAUGUGAACCAACUCAACAAUGGAAUUAGUAAUGCUCGCGAAUUCUAUGGCAAAGGAAGAAACUCCUAAAAAGUCAAAGUUGCAGAGCAAUAGGAAGUCAAGCAGCUCAAGAUUGGUGACAAUAUCAGAUGAUUCAGAACCCAUCAACAAUUUUAUACCUAAAAGCAAACAAGGAAGGAACUUGAUGUAUUUAAUUUUAGUUAUUAAGAAGUUGUUGGAAAAAAAUUAAUGGUAUUAUUUAGUGGUAUAUUUCUCAA